rnacentral:rRNA from 1 species
GAGUUUGAUCUUGGCUCAGAGCGAACGCUGGCGGCAGGCUUAACACAUGCAAGUCGAGCGGCCGUAGCAAUACGGCAGCGGCAGACGGGAGAGUAACACGUGGGAACGUGCCCAUCAGUUCGGAACAACCCAGGGAAACUUGGGCUAAUACCGGAUACGCCCUUACGGGGAAAGAUUUAUCGCUGAUGGAGCGGCCCGCGUCUGAUUAGCUAGUUGGUGAGGUAAUGGCUCACCAAGGCGACGAUCAGUAGCUGGUCUGAGAGGAUGAUCAGCCUCACUGGGACUGGGACACGGCCCAGACUCCUACGGGAGGCAGCAGUGGGGAAUAUUGGACAAUGGGCGCAAGCCUGAUCCAGCCAUGCCGCGUGGAUGAUGAAGGCCCUAGGGUUGUAAAGUCCUUUCGGCGGGGAAGAUAAUGACGGUACCCGCAGAAGAAGCCCCGGCUAACUUCGUGCCAGCCGCCGCGGUAAG